UCCGUGUGCGUUUUAUUCAUCAUGUUUGUGUUGUAAUUAUGUUUCGUCAAUGCCUUUUAGCUUAGGUACAUACUAGGUCUUCAUAAGAUCUGUAGACUUUGUUUAUUCAUCAGGUAUUAUGAUGUGAAAGUGAUAUUGUAUGGAUAUGACAUCUUGCCUUGACAGUUUACUUUCACAAUGUUUUCUGUUUUCUUGCAGUGUAAUCUGUUUUCUCUCUGGGCUUGACGAUUGUUUCUCUGGAUGUCUGCUACAAGGUGGAUUCGUUGGUUUCCUUGCUCUCCUGCUCGACCUCAUCAAAGAAAGAGGAAGUGGAAGAGCCUGCUUAGGGGUUUUAUACUACUGUUGC